CCCAGACUCCUACGGGAGGCAGCAGUGAGGAAUAUUGGUCAAUGGUCGGGAGACUGAACCAGCCAAGCCGCGUGAGGGAGGAAGGUACAGAGUAUCGUAAACCUCUUUUGUCAGGGAACAAAGACUGGGACGCGUCCCCGGAUGAGUGUACCUGAAGAAAAAGCAUCGGCUAACUCCGUGCCAGCAGCCGCGGUAAUACGGAGGAUGCGAGCGUUAUCCGGAUUUAUUGGGUUUAAAGGGUGCGCAGGCGGUCUGUUAAGUCAGCGGUCAAAGCCCGGGGCUCAACCCCGGCCCACCGUUGAAACUGGCAGUCUCGAGUUGGAGAGAAGUAUGCGGAAUGCGCGGUGUAGCGGUGAAAUGCAUAGAUAUCACGCAGAACCCCGAUUGCGAAGGCAGCCUUCCGGCGCCCUACUGACGCUGAGGCACGAAAGUGCGGGGAUCGAACAGGAUUAGAUACCCCGGUAGU
rnacentral:rRNA from 1 species